rnacentral:rRNA from 1 species
ACGGCCGCGGUACCCUAACCGUGCGAAGGUAGCAUAAUCACUUGUUCUUUAAAUGAGGACCAGUAUCAACGGCAUCACGAGGAUCUUACUGUCUCCCCCCUCUAAUCAGUGAAACUGAUCUCCCCGUGAAGAAGCGGGAAUAUUUACAUAAGACGAGAAGACCCCAUGGAGCUUUAAACCCGAUAACACCCAUUUCCUCUAUACCCCUACAUAUCUUUGGCUGCUGUUUACUCGGUUUUAGGUUGGGGUGACCACGGAGUAUAAAACAACCUCCAUGAAAAAAGGAAAAAUUAAACCUCAUCAGAGAAUGACACUUCCAAGAACUAAUAAAUUAAUUUUUAAUGAUCCGAUACUCGAUCAACGAACCAAGUUACCCUGGGGAUAACAGCGCAAUCCACCUCAAGAGCCCCUAUCGACAGGCGGGUUUACGACCUCGAUGUUGGAUCAGGGUAUCCCAGUGGUGCAGCAGCUACUAAAGGUUCGUUUGUUCAACGAUUAAAACCC